GUCUACGGCCAUACCACCCUGAACACACCUGGUCUCAUCUGAUCUCGGAAGCUAAGCAGGGUUCGGGCCUGGUUAGUACUUGGAUGGUAUCACUCCUGAAGCUUCCUCUUUCUAGGUGGCCACGGGAGGCCUGAAUC
ensembl:rRNA 5S_rRNA 5S ribosomal RNA